GGCUGCUCGGCAGCACAUAUUCUAAAAUUCAAACGAUAGAGAGAUUAGCAUGUCCCCUCCCCAAGGAUGACAAGCAAGGUCAUGAAGUGUUCUAUAUUUUU
rnacentral:snRNA from 1 species